rnacentral:rRNA from 1 species
UACGAAGGGGGCUAGCGUUGUUCGGAUUUACUGGGCGUAAAGCGCACGUAGGCGGAUUGUUAAGUCAGGGUGAAAUCCUGGAGCUCAACUCCAGAACUGCCUUGAUACUGGCAAUCUAGAGUCCGGAAGAGGUGAGUGGAACUCCUAGUGUAGAGGUGGAAUUCGUAGAUAUUAGGAAGAACACCAGUGGCGAAGGCGGACUCACUGGUCCGGUACUGACGCUGAGGUG